rnacentral:rRNA from 1 species
CCUACGGGAGACAGCAGUGAGGAAUAUUGGUCAAUGGGCGUAAGCCUGAACCAGCCAAGCCGCGUGAGGGAUGAAGGUUCUAUGGAUCGUAAACCUCUUUUAUCAGAGAAUAAAGCGUGGGACGUGUCCUAUUUUGUAUGUACCUUAUGAAUAAGGAUCGGCUAACUCCGUGCCAGCAGCCGCGGUAAUACGGAGGAUCCGAGCGUUAUCCGGAUUUAUUGGGUUUAAAGGGUGCGUAGGCGGCCUUUUAAGUCAGCGGUGAAAUUCUGGGGCUCAACCCUCGAAUUGCCGUUGAAACUGGGGGGCUUGAGUAGGUUUGAGGCAGGCGGAAUGCGUGGUGUAGCGGUGAAAUGCAUAGAUAUCACGCAGAACCCCGAUUGCGAAGGCAGCGUACCGGGCCAUGACUGACGCUGAGGCACGAAAGCGUGGGGAUCGAACAGGAUUAGAUACCCUAGUAGUC